rnacentral:misc_RNA from 1 species
GCCCUUGAACACUCGAAAUUGAUAUAUAAACGAUAAUUCAUAAAAAUAUAUGUAUUAUAAAUUCAAACUACUGGUAAACUAUGCAGUCAUGAGUAAAUGGUACAUAUAAAAGUUAUUUCCUUUUUCCAAAAUUUCUAGUGUGGCCUGCAGCCACGAGAUGCAAUGUCAAUCAACCAAAGAUAUGUAACUUUUCAAAGUAUACGAGUGCAUAUUAUGCACUUAAAAAAGAAAAACAAUUAAGCUUUACAGGUAAAAUAUCAUUUGUAGAGUG